rnacentral:rRNA from 1 species
GAAAGUAGAGAAGGGCGCAUGGUGGAUGCCUAGGCUCCCGGAGGCGAUGAAGGACGUGACAAGCUGCGAAAAUCCGCGGGGAGGCGCAAGUGGCCUUUGAUCCGCGGGUGUCCGAAUGG